UUGAAAGGGAAACGAUUGAAGUCAGUCAUGCUGGUGGGAAUCAACUUAGGGGNNACUCUAGGUGCACUUCUUCGCUUGGCAGGUUAACGUCGAUCUUGAAUGCCAUAAAAUAAUUGGGGGAAGGUAGCUCCUUCGGGAGUGUUAUAGCCCUUGAUAGAUGUGAUGUUUGGGGUCGAGGAUUGCAACGGAUACCCUUUGGGGCUAGCCGCCUGAUCUCUAAUCGGUGUUGGGUUACGGAUAGCAUGCUGACCGUGAUCUAAUUACUGGUUAAAAGGUUAGAGCGUGCAUAAAUUCGUUAAGGAUGUUGACGUA
rnacentral:rRNA from 1 species